rnacentral:rRNA from 1 species
CACGCCGUAAACGAUGAUAACUAGCUGUCCGGGCUCAUAGAGCUUGGGUGGCGCAGCUAACGCAUUAAGUUAUCCGCCUGGGGAGUACGGUCGCAAGAUUAAAACUCAAAGGAAUUGACGGGGGCCUGCACAAGCGGUGGAGCAUGUGGUUUAAUUCGAAGCAACGCGCAGAACCUUACCAGCGUUUGACAUCCUGAUCGCGGUUACCAGAGAUGGUUUCCUUCAGUUCGGCUGGAUCAGUGACAGGUGC